rnacentral:rRNA from 1 species
CAGUCGCCGCGGUAAUACAGAGGGUGCGAGCGUUAAUCGGAUUUACUGGGCGUAAAGCGUGCGUAGGCGGCUUUUUAAGUCGGAUGUGAAAUCCCUGAGCUUAACUUAGGAAUUGCAUUCGAUACUGGGAAGCUAGAGUAUGGGAGAGGAUGGUAGAAUUCCAGGUGUAGCGGUGAAAUGCGUAGAGAUCUGGAGGAAUACCGAUGGCGAAGGCAGCCAUCUGGCCUAAUACUGACGCUGAGGUACGAAAGCAUGGGGAGCAAACAGGAUUAGAGACCCCCGUAGUCCCUGUCUCUUAUAA